CUAGGUAUGCUGCUAGACACCAAUCUAUCCUAAAAUAUCUCUUCAAAACUUUACCCAAAACUAGGUGCCCUGUACAGAAACAAAUCCUGCCUAAGCCCUACAGUAAGGCAAGAAAUGCUAACGCUGGUCAUUGAUUAUGGAGAUGUAGUGUAUGCACCUGUACCGCAAACCCACCUUAAUAAACUCAAUACAUUAUAUAAUUCAUUCUGCCGCUUUGUACUAGAAUGUAAUUACUUU